rnacentral:rRNA from 1 species
AUUGAACGCUGGCGGCAGGCCUAACACAUGCAAGUCGAACGAGUGGCGGACGGGUGAGUAAUGUCUGGGAAACUGCCUGAUGGAGGGGGAUAACUACUGGAAACGGUAGCUAAUACCGCAUACCAUCGGAUGUGCCCAGAUGGGAUUAGCUAGUAGGUGGGGUAACGGCUCACCUAGGCGACGAUCCCUAGCUGGUCUGAUAGGAUGACCAGCCAAGCUGGAACGGAGACACGGUCCAGACUCCUACGGGAGGCAUCAGUGGGGAAUAGGGCACAAUGGGCGGAAGCCUGAUGCAGCCAGGCCGCGUGUGUGAAGAAGGCAUUCGGGUUGUAAAGCACUUUCAGCGGGGAGGCGUUACCCGCAGAAGAAGCACCGGCUAACUCCGUGCCAGCAGCCGCGGUAAUAC